ensembl:lncRNA
GUAAAAGCCUUUUGUUAUUCCUGAGUUUAUGCUAAUAAGGUAGCUCCUGGUCAUUGCUCGGAUAGCUUCAGGGUGGGGACUGCCCACUAGAGAGACCAACCGCUCCAUUAGAGUUGGGACUUUGAGCCAACUUGACCUCGAGGGAGGGCAGAGUGGCUCGAGAUUCAAUCAAGUGAGUUCAGUCGCGUAGCCAAUGAUUUAAUGAAGCAUGCCUACAUAUUGAAACUUGAGUAAAAACUCUGGACCUCAAAGCUCAGUGGAGCUUCCAGCUUGGUGAACACGUUGAUGCGCUGGAGGGUGACUUGCCUUGAUUUCAUGAGGAGGAGACACAGAACCUCUGCCUUUGGGACCUUCCCAGAUCUCACCCUACAAGUCUCUUCAUUUGGCAGGUCCUCCAUACCUUUUAUGAUAAAACCGUAACGGAUUAGCGGACCCACACCGUCUCCUGUCAAUUCAUUGUGUUUAUUAUGUGAACCACCACAAGCAGGAGACGUUCUGGAACGCGGACACCUACAAGAAGCUGCUUUGUUCUUCAAAGAAAGCAGGUCUUCAAAUGGUUAGUGAAGGAAGAAAUGAGAUCAUCCGGAAUGAGACUUAUUCCUCGUGAAUCCUCCACUGAAUAAAUAUGAACGAGUCUUCACUCUGCGCUUGGUACCGGUAUCGUUGUUGGGUUCAGUGAGUUGAAAAGCACAUCUCCAACUCUGAGAGCAUGCGGCCUUCUCUGGGAACUCACAGGGAAAUAACCGUGAUAACGCAAUCAGUGCUGACAGCCACUGGUACAAAGUGUUUCUGGAGCACAGAGUAGCUCAGAAGGACGUGAGCCAAGUGAUGGAGAAUAGGAGCAUUCUCUGGCUUCUUCCUUUUAAGUACCAGGUUACAGUGAGGCCCCCCUUUGACCAGCCACGGUAACAAAUGAGGAACAGAAUGCUACAGAUGAGACGACAGAAUGAGAGGCACAUUUUUGGUCAGGAUUCCCCUAACACAGUAUUAUUUAUCUAGGAAUUUGAGUAACCUCAGAAGCGCCAGUUUCUAGAACGUUAUUUUUUUGUGAAUACUUUCAACUAAUAGUUUUAGAUUUUCAGGACUUGAUUGAGGAUUGGAAAGCUUUCUGGCAAAGCGUGUUGUGGAUAACACUCACCUGGAGCAGCCAACCUGCUCCACAAAUUGUUAAAUUAUGGUCUUUAAUUCAGAGAGGCAUUCGUCAUGGGAAGUUAUGAUCAAGAUUUUUGGCAACUUCAAAUCGAACUGUCCCUCUGCAAAGUGAUCAGAUGUUCUAUGGUUGAGCCAGUCUUCCUAGGAAGAAUUCCAACAAAGAAUUCUGAGGAACCAAACAAUAGCCAAGAAAGUGAAUUGUACGCUCUUUUCCAGCACCGAGCACUGGGCUCUCCUUCCUCUGCUGGGCCACUCAAGUUUCCCGUAAAUAAAGACAAGUUAAAAUUCCCUCCUUUAGCUUCUUCUCCUCUCCCUCUUUUUGUCUUUCUCAUUCUAACAAACCCGGAGGAUAUUUUACUGGAAAUAUCGCUCUAUCUUGAAAUUUCUCAUGAGAAAACCAGGAAGUGGAUUACAAACCCAUCACCGCCAAAUGGGUCUUCAUGUUUACCUUGAAUGACCAGAUAACCAUGGAUGAAAUGAUAAACCUCAGCAAUCUGUUUCCCAGCUUCUCCCUUUCACGUUCUGGAGAUCUGGCCUUGUAUGACAAAGCUGUUUUUAGAUUUCUAAGCUACGUGAUUACAAGUGUUAGCUGCUUGAUCUUUCCUUGGAAGAUGAGUAAAUUCGGACCAAGACGUUUUAUGUAUUUUCUAAACUGUUUGUUUCUUCGUCAAGGAUCCUUCUGGUGUAUUCGAACCUCCAGUACUUGACAAGACAUGUUGUUAGUAUUACUGGUCAAAAGGGCAGAUUUAAGAAGCCUUUUCUUCUUCAAAAACCAUGAGGAGAUUUAGAGAAAAGUAAUCACUCUUCUUUCUCACAGAGUGACGUUUUGAAGUUGCUUCUAGACAAUAACUUCUUAAGAGUGUUGUGGUCUACGAGACUUGAAACCGAAAUGUUAAGUUUAGGAAAGAGGCUGAAGCAGCAACGUUCUUUCCCGUAAUACGUGAGAAGCCGAAGGCAGCUGUCGAAGAAGGAAAACAGGCCAACUGCACAGAGAGAGUUAGUGACUUGCCCAACGUCACACAGACUAUAAGUGGUAGGGCAGGCGUUCAUGCUCAAGUCCUCCUGACCCCAAUGUCUAGGCCCGUGGCCACAAGGGUCGUAAUUGCAAGGAUUCAUUCAUUCAUUCAUUCAGCUUCGCGGGCAGCAACUGGACAGCAACCCUUGAGAUUCUCGAGACUGGGAAUCGAUGUUUGAUUUCUGUAUGUCUUGUGCCUUCACAAUGUGGCACCUCAAUAGCCGUUCGUUUCAAUAAACUCUUUAAGGGCCUAAAAGGCAGGAUGGGA